rnacentral:rRNA from 1 species
UCAAGCGAAUAAGCGCACACGGUGGAUGCCUAGGCGGUCAGAGGCGAUGAAGGACGUGGUAGCCUGCGAAAAGUGUCGGGGAGCUGGCAACAAGCUUUGAUCCGGCAAUAUCCGAAUGGGGAAACCCACUGCUUCGGCAGUAUCCUGCAGUGAAUUCAUAGCUGCUGGAAGCGAACCCGGUGAACUGAAAUAUCUAAGUAACCGGAGGAAAAGAAAUCAACCGAGAUUCCCUAAGUAGUGACGAGCGAACGGGGAACAGCCCUUAAGCUGGAAUGGCUUUAGAAAAACAAUCUGGAAAGAUUGGCCAUAGAAGGUGAUAGCCCUGUAUUUAAAAGGGCCACUCCAGUGAAGACGAGUAGGGCGGGGCACGUGAAACCCUGUCUGAAUAUGGGGGGACCAUCCUCCAAGGCUAAAUACUCCUGACCGACCGAUAGUGAACCAGUACCGUGAGGGAAAGGCGAAAAGAACCCCGGAGAGGGGAGUGAAAUAGAUCCUGAAACCGUGUGCGUACAAGCAGUAGGAGCUCGCAAGAGUGACUGCGUACCUUUUGUAUAAUGGGUCAGCGACUUACUGUUCGUGGCAAGCUUAACCGUAUAGGGGAGGCGAAGGGAAACCGAGUCUGAUAAGGGCGCAUAGUCGCGGGCAGUAGACCCGAAACCGGGUGAUCUAGUCAUGGCCAGGGUGAAGGUGCCGUAACAGGUACUGGAGGCCCGAACCCACGUCUGUUGCAAAAGACGGGGAUGAGCUGUGAUUAGGAGUGAAAAGCUAAUCGAACCCGGAGAUAGCUGGUUCUCCUCGAAAGCUAUUUAGGUAGCGCCUCGGACGAAUACUACUGGGGGUAGAGCACUGUUAUGGCUAGGGGGUCAUCGCGACUUACCAAACCAUUGCAAACUCCGAAUACCAGUACGUACUAUCCGGGAGACACACGGCGGGUGCUAACGUCCGUCGUGAAAAGGGAAACAACCCAGACCCACAGCUAAGGUCCCAAAUUCACUGCUAAGUGGAAAACGAUGUGGAAAGGCAUAGACAGCCAGGAGGUUGGCUUAGAAGCAGCCACCCUUUAAAGAAAGCGUAAUAGCUCACUGGUCGAGUCGGUCUGCGCGGAAGAUUUAACGGGGCUAAGCAGUGAACCGAAGCUUGGGGUGCGUAAAACUUCGGUUUUAUGCGCGGUAGAGGAGCGUUCCGUAAGCCUGCGAAGGUGGAUUGAGAAGUCCGCUGGAGGUAUCGGAAGUGCGAAUGCUGACAUGAGUAACGAUAAUGCGGGUGAAAAGCCCGCACGCCGAAAGCCCAAGGUUUCCUUGCGCAACGUUAAUCGACGCAGGGUUAGUCGGUCCCUAAGGCGAGGGCGAAAGCCGUAGUCGAUGGGAAGCAGGUUAAUAUUCCUGCACCUCGCGUGAGUGCGAUGGAGGGACGGAGAAGGUUAGGUGUACCGGGCGUUGGUUGUCCCGGGGAAAGGCGGUAGGUUUGGAUCUUUGGCAAAUCCGGGAUCCUUUAAGACCGAGCACCGAGACGAGCCUUUAUGGCGAAGUCACUGAUACCACGCUUCCAGGAAAAGCUCCUAAGCUUCAGCUCACGAAGACCGUACCGUAAACCGACACAGGUGGGUAGGAUGAGAAUUCUCAGGCGCUUGAGAGAACUCGGGUGAAGGAACUAGGCAACAUGGCACCGUAACUUCGGGAGAAGGUGCACCCUUUUUGGUGGCUCAUGCGAGCUAUAGCUGAAGAGGGUCGCAGAAACCAGGCCGCUGCGACUGUUUAUCAAAAACACAGCACUCUGCAAACACGAAAGUGGACGUAUAGGGUGUGACGCCUGCCCGGUGCUGGAAGGUUAAUUGAUGGGGUCAGCCGCAAGGCGAAGCUCUUGAUCGAAGCCCCAGUAAACGGCGGCCGUAACUAUAACGGUCCUAAGGUAGCGAAAUUCCUUGUCGGGUAAGUUCCGACCUGCACGAAUGGCGUAACGACAGCGGCGCUGUCUCCACCCGAGACUCAGUGAAAUUGAAAUCGCUGUGAAGAUGCAGCGUUCCCGUGGCAAGACGGAAAGACCCCGUGAACCUUUACUAUAGCUUUACACUGAACGUUGAGUUCGUCUGUGUAGGAUAGGUGGGAGGCUAUGAAACUGUGGCGCUAGCUGCAGUGGAGCCAUCCUUGAAAUACCACCCUGUCGUGCUUGACGUUCUAACCUAGAUCCGUUAUCCGGAUCAGGGACCGUGUAUGGUGGGUAGUUUGACUGGGGCGGUCUCCUCCUAAAGAGUAACGGAGGAGCACGAAGGUACGCUCAGCGCGGUCGGACAUCGCGCACUGUGUGCAAAGGCAUAAGCGUGCUUGACUGCAAGAUCGACGGAUCAAGCAGGUACGAAAGUAGGUCUUAGUGAUCCGGUGGUUCUGUAUGGAAGGGCCAUCGCUCAACGGAUAAAAGGUACUCCGGGGAUAACAGGCUGAUACCGCCCAAGAGUUCAUAUCGACGGCGGUGUUUGGCACCUCGAUGUCGGCUCAUCACAUCCUGGGGCUGUAGUCGGUCCCAAGGGUAUGGCUGUUCGCCAUUUAAAGUGGUACGCGAGCUGGGUUCAGAACGUCGUGAGACAGUUCGGUCCCUAUCUGCCAUGGGCGUUGGAAGUUUGAGAGGGGCUGCUCCUAGUACGAGAGGACCGGAGUGGACGAACCUCUGGUGUUCCGGUUGUCACGCCAGUGGCAUUGCCGGGUAGCUAUGUUCGGAAGCGAUAACCGCUGAAAGCAUCUAAGCGGGAAGCGCGCCUCAAGAUGAGACUUCCCGGGGCACAAGCCCCCUAAAGGAACCAUAUAGACUAUGUGGUUGAUAGGUCAGGUGUGUAAGUACAGCAAUGUAUUGAGCUAACUGAUACUAAUGAUCCGUGCGGCUUGACCAU